AUUGGGAUGAUCAUAGGAUGGGAUAAGUAUAUGGAAUGGAUAUGGGGUGGACACGGGAUGGAUGUGGGGAUAUGGAUUCAGGAAGGCUGUGGGAUGGAAAUGGAUAUGGGACAUGGGGUACAGGAUGGGGAUAGGAUAUGGGAUGUGGGGGUAUGGAUGUGGGAUGGCUUUAGGAUGGGGUAUGGGAUUGGAUAAGGGAUGGGACAUUGAUAUGGGAUGGAUAAGGAGAUGGGAUCGGUUUGGGAUGAGAUAUGGAUUUGAGAUGGAUUUGGGAUGGUUAUGGGAUGGAUAAGGUGAUAUGGAUAUAGAAAGAGAUUUGGCAUGGAGUUGGGAUGGGAUAUGGAUAGGGGAUGAGAUAUGGGAUGGGCUAUGGAUAUGGGAUGGGCUAUGGAUAUGGGAUGGAUUUGGGAUAUGGAUAUGGGAUGGAUUUGGGAUAUGGAUACGGGAUGGAUUUGGGAUUUGGAUAGGGAUGGAUUUGGGAUAUGGAUACGGGAUGGAUUUGGG
ensembl:lncRNA